GUGUCAGCAGCCGCGGUAAAACGUAGGAUCCGAGCGUUAUCCGAAUUUACUGGGCGUAAAGCGCGUGCAGGCGGUUCGAUAAGUUGGAUGUGAAAUCUCCUGGCUCAACUGGGAGACGUCGUUCAAUACUGUCGGACUUGAGGAUGGUAGAGGGAGGUGGAAUUCCCGGUGUAGUGGUGAAAUGCGUAGAUAUCGGGAGGAACACCAGUGGCGAAAGCGGCCUCCUGGACCAUUUCUGACGCUCAGACGCGAAAGCUAGGGGAGCGAACGGGAUUAGAUACCCGCGUAGUCC
rnacentral:rRNA from 1 species